GGGCCCGCACAAGCAGUGGAGCAUGUGGUUUAAUUCGAUGCAACGCGAAGAACCUUACCAGGCCUUGACAUCCUCGGAACUUUCUAGAGAUAGAUUGGUGCCUUCGGGAACCGAGUGACAGGUGCUGCAUGGCUGUCGUCAGCUCGUGUCGUGAGAUGUUGGGUUAAGUCCCGUAACGAGCGCAACCCUUAUCCUUAAUUGCCAGCGGUUAGGCCGGGAACUCUAAGGAGACUGCCGAUGACAAAUCGGAGGAAGGUGGGGACGACGUCAAGUCAUCAUGGCCCUUACGUGUAGGGCUACACACGUGCUACAAUGGUAUCUACAACAGGAAGCAAGACUGCGAAGUUAAGCAAA
rnacentral:rRNA from 1 species